GACUCAUUGGUGUAGCGGUUAUCACACUUGCCUGUCACGCAAGAGAGCAUGGGUUCGAAUCCCAUAUGGGUCG
rnacentral:tRNA from 1 species